UACGGAGGGUGCAAGCGUUAUCCGGAUUUAUUGGGCUUAAAGGGUCCGUAGGCGGCCUCGUAAGUCAGUGGUGAAAUCUCAUAGCUUAACUAUGAAACUGCCAUUGAUACUGCGGGUCUUGAGUAAAGUAGAAGUGGCUGGAAUAAGUAGUGUAGCGGUGAAAUGCAUAGAUAUUACUUAGAACACCAAUUGCGAAGGCAGGUCACUAGGUUGUAACUGACGCUGAUGGACGAAAGCGUGGGGAGCGAACAGG
rnacentral:rRNA from 1 species